AGGUAAAAGCCUGAGGCAAAAUAA
rnacentral:siRNA from 1 species